rnacentral:rRNA from 1 species
CCCUUCGCAACCCCUGCUUUCAGUUGCCAUCGGGUUAUGCCGGGAACUCUGGAGGGACUGCCCAGGAUAACGGGGAGGAAGGUGGGGAUGACGUCAAGUCAGCAUGGCCUUUAUGCCUGGGGCUACACACGUGUAACAAUGGCCGGUACAAAGGGCUGCAAACCCGUGAGGGGGAGCCAAUCCCAGAAAACCGGCCUCAGUUCAGAUUGAGGUCUGCAACUCGACCUCAUGAAGGCGGAAUCGCUAGUAAUCGCGGAUCAGCACGCCGCGGUGAAUACGUUCCCGGGCCUUGUACACACCGCCCGUCACACCACGAAAGCCUGUUGUACCUGAAGUCGCCCAAGCCAACCGCAAGGAGGCAGGCGCCCACGGUAUGGCCGGUGAUUGGGGUGAAGUCGUAACAAGGUAAAGGG